rnacentral:lncRNA from 1 species
UUUUUCAUGUGUCAUUCGGUAAAAAUGCAAAAACCUGUAUCAACAACAUAGAAGGAAUGUACAGAAGUCAUGUUUGAUUGAGAAAAGUUACGACAAGUAGGUAAACUUUGAAAAAUACGAUUGCUGUCAGUGUCGGAAAGAAUGACCCGACUUGACCAAGAUAUGAGACAGCCGAAACCAGGAAUGACAAGAGAACCGGCGUUACAGUUUAAUCCGGACAACAAGUUUAAUGAACAUCGUUUGUGAUUUGAGACAAGUGUGACUGAUGGGAAACAUGUGCAUGUGGGAUUCUAGGAGGACUUGUUUGAGUCAAACGCGCUUGUGGAGUGGACACAGUCAGAUAACGGGAGUUUGUUGAUAUUUUGAUGUGAUUCAUAAUAUGGUCGAAUACCUGUUGAUAGACUAACACGGUAUCUGGAGACUUGGUGACAAGCUGUCCGCAUUCACGGAGCUCAUUUAGUUCAAUGUUGGACACAGGAUCACCUCGCUGGGUUAUCGAUGUCAUCAUCGUUCACAAAGGCAAACCUGUCUAUACAAAGUCCGGUUUUGGGGAUUCGUGUGGUCGAAAGAUCCGCCAAACAGCAAGUCCUCUAACACAGACGCAAAUCUGGACUUGGUGGUGUUGAGUUUUAGCGCACUAGAAACAGUUUCUGGCAACAUCACAAUCUGAAACUUGGAACUUCAAUCUGGCCAUAUGCAGUUUUGACAACAAAGACAUUAAAUGUGUUCAGAGGUUGAAUUAUGCGAAUAACUCUUCCUGUCAGAUCUCCGUCUACUUUAACGAGGUCAUUUAGUUUGACAGGUGUCAAAUGGUCAGCCAUGUUUGUUUACAAACAAUGCAGACGUAGUUUUGUUUUUUGUAAUUACGCUUAUUGUAAACUAAAACUCGUGCGAAAUAAAUGCUUUAUUCAUUA